GACGAACGCUGGCGGCGUGCUUAACACAUGCCAGUCGAACGGAAAGGCCCUGCUUUUGUGGGGUGCUCGAGUGGCGAACGGGUGAGUAACACGUGAGUAACCUGCCCUUGACUUUGGGAUAACUUCAGGAAACUGGGGCUAAUACCGGAUAGGAGCUCCUGCUGCAUGGUGGGGGUUGGAAAGUUUCGGCGGUUGGGGAUGGACUCGCGGCUUAUCAGCUUGUUGGUGGGGUAGUGGCUUACCAAGGCUUUGACGGGUAGCCGGCCUGAGGGGGUGACCGGCCACAUUGGUACUGAGAUACGGCCCAGACUCCUACGGGAGGCAGCAGUGGGGAAUAUUGCACAAUGGGCGGAAGCCUGAUGCAGCAACGCCGCGUGCGGGAUGACGGCCUUCGGGUUGUAAACCGCUUUCGCCUGUGACGAAGCGUGAGUGACGGUAAUGGGUAAAGAAGCACCGGCUAACUACGUG
rnacentral:rRNA from 1 species